GGGGAUUUAGCUCAGCGGUAGAGCGCUUGCCUAGCAAGUGCAAGGCCCUGGGUUCGAUCCCCAACUCCG
rnacentral:tRNA from 1 species